AUCAUGUCUGUUCUAAUACCAUAGAACUUUAUAUUAGCUCUAUGGCUUCGCUUUCAGACAAAAUUAAAUUCUUCAAAUUUAUCCUGGUGUGAGAUUUUGAUCAAUAUGCUUUGCACCGGCAUUUUGAGGAUACAAAA